rnacentral:rRNA from 1 species
GAACGCUGGCGGCGUGCCUAACACAUGCAAGUCGAACGAGUCAUUUGUCUGCGAUUCGUCAAGAGAACUUCUGACCGAGUGGCGGAUGGGUGAGUAACGCGUGGAGAACCUGCCCUCAGUCUGGGGGAUAACAACUGGAAACGGUUGACAAUACCGCAUAGACUCUGAUGCUCGCAUGAGCGUAAGAGAAAGAUUUAUCGGAUGAGGAUGGCUCCGCGUCGGAUUAGCCAGUUGGCGGGUAACGGCCACCAAAGCGACGAUCCGUAGCCGGCCUGAGAGGGCGACCGGCCACAUUGGGACUGAGACACGGCCCAGACUCCUACGGGAGGCAGCAGUGGGGAAUAUUGCACAAUGGGCGCAAGCCUGAUGCAGCGAACCGCCGCGUGAGUGAUGAAGUGCUUCGGCAUGUAAAGCUCUAUCAACAGGGAAGAAAAUGACGGUACCUGAAUAAGAAGCCCCGGCUAACUACGUGCCAGCAGCCGC